AAACCAAUAAAGUUUUCUUUAUUGGGGUUGCGGACAUAUCAUAACGAAGAGGUAUCGUAAUUGAAGAGGUUUGGAAAGACCCACCACAGAAGGUAAUAGUCCUGUAUGUUAAACGAGAAGACUUUAGAUAUGAUCCAGAGUACCACGGGACACGUGAAACCCUGUGGGAAGCAGGAGGGACCACCCUCCAAGGCUAAAUACUACCUAGUGACCG
rnacentral:rRNA from 1 species